rnacentral:rRNA from 1 species
GAUUUGUGAUUUAGUGUCAGUGACCUUUGGUGGGAUUCUAUCAGAGUGUUGGUGUAUGCGGAUCAUCUAUGGGUUGUUGUUGGAUUGUCCUUCACUGGUCCGUCCAACCGCUUCCCAUCGGUUACUUUGAACAAAUUCGAGUGUUUCAAGCAGGCGUUGCCGCUGUGAAGAGUCGAGCAUGGAAUAACAUCAUAGGACUUCGGUUCGAUUUUGUUGGUUCUGCAAGCUGAAGUAAUGAUUGAUAGGGACAGUUGGGGGUGCUAGUAUUCAGUGGCCAGAGGUGAAAUUCUUGGAUUCACUGAAGACUAACUACUGCGAAAGCAUU